AGGGUUUGUUUUAUUUACUCUUUCUGCUCCUCCUCUAGACUUGCUUAUCCAAUGAAGAACUCUGCAGCUUACAUUUGUCAACAGAGCUGGCAGUAAUGACAUCACAUCCCCUCUUUUUGGCAUCAAAUAACUUCUGAAAGCUCCAGCCCCAUGUCUCUCAGUUUCCCCUCAAACUCCUCCCUCUUGAAAGUCUUGUGGUCCUCCUGGCUGUUGAGGGUCUCUCCAUGAAGGCCUAGCUCCACGUCCGCUGCAGGCCGGGUGGAGCGACUCCCGGCUGGUUUCUUCACAGGAUAGGUGAGGACGUAGUCGACAUGCCGCUGACCAUCCUGGAAGAAGAGGCCGUGCUGGCUGGUGGUGUUCUGCUCUGGGACUUUCCUCUGGGACUUACGCAGAGUUUAUUACAAACUUAGGGCCAUAAAAGACAUGAUUGUCAAACUCCAACUUAAUGUAAACAAA